rnacentral:rRNA from 1 species
GGCGGCGUGCUAAACACCAAGUCGAAUCGAUGAAGCGAGGAGCUUGCUCCUCCGGAUUAGUGGCGAACGGGUGAGUAACACGUGAGCAAUCUGCCCUUGACUCUGGGAUAAGCGCUGGAAACGGCGUCUAAUACCGGAUACGACCCUCGGAGGCAUCUCCUGUGGGUGGAAAGAACUUCGGUCAAGGAUGAGCUCGCGGCCUAUCAGCUUGUUGGUGAGGUAAUGGCUCACCAAGGCGACGACGGGUAGCCGGCCUGAGAGGGUGACCGGCCACACUGGGACUGAGACACGGCCCAGACUCCUACGGGAGGCAGCAGUGGGGAAUAUUGCACAAUGGGCGCAAGCCUGAUGCAGCAACGCCGCGUGAGGGACGACGGCCUUCGGGUUGUAAACCUCUUUUAGCAGGGAAGAAGCGAGAGUGACGGUACCUGCAGAAAAAGCACCGGCUAACUACGUGCCAGCAGCCGCGGUAAUACGUAGGGUGCAAGCGUUGUCCGGAAUUAUUGGGCGUAAAGAGCUCGUAGGCGGUCUGUCGCGUCUGCUGUGAAAACCCGAGGCUCAACCUCGGGCUGCAGUGGGUACGGGCAGACUAGAGUGCGGUAGGGGAGAUUGGAAUUCCUGGUGUAGCGGUGGAAUGCGCAGAUAUCAGGAGGAACACCGAUGGCGAGCAGAUCUCUGGGCCGUAACUGACGCUGAGGAGCGAAAGCGUGGGGACACAGGCUAGAUACCUGGUAGUCACGCCGUAAACGUGGAACUAGAUGUGGGGA